UGCUAACUGGAAAACAAGAACAAAAAUGAACUACUAGGUAGUUGAAACCACUGACUCUUGCUGCUCCUUCCUGCCCCUGGGUAAUUUAUGGCAGCAGAGCUGGGCUCCCACACUGCGGCUGCCACUUUGGCGUGGCUGUUCUGCUCACCGCGCAGGGGGCAGCCGGCCAAGGAGGAAGCCAUGCUGCCCGCUCUGUGGAUUUCAAGCCACACUGCGCAUGCUGGAGUUCCCACAGCCGCCCCUGCAGCCCCUACUCCCGGGAUCUCAGAGGUAUAUUUGUGGGGCACUGGCCACAUGAGCAUUGAGCUACUGCUCUGGAGCUGAAAAGAUGUGUAAGUCAUGACAGCUGAUUGUAUGAAUUCCUUUGGGGGGGGGCAGUACCAGGAAUUGGACUCAGGCAGUGCUUGCCAGGCAGGCGCUGUGCCACUGAGCUAUACCCCUGGCCCUAUGUCAGUUCUUGAUGUGGAGAAAACCACUCCAGAACAUUGCCCAUGAAUUCAGCUAUUUGUCUAAGCUAAAGUCUGACUUUAGGAUGAUUUGGCCCUGAGCCAAGUAGCCUCCCUCCCUCCAACAGGUUAGUCCAGACAAGUCUGCUGGUGGUAGCAGGAGUUCAACAAAAUCAAAAGACUCAAGGACUUUCAAGCCUCACUGAAAUCAGCCUUGGUGCUAUUCCAGUGGUCAAAAUAUGACCCAUAGGAAAGCCAGUACAGGAGGCCACUACCAAAGGGAGCAAAUACGGAGAGAUACAAAAGUGUGAAGUCCUUUGUGCAAAGCCAAGCACUGUGAGUGAAGUACAGCCCAGCAGUGACAGAGGUUGGAAUCACAGCAACAAAGAAAUAAUGGAGAAGCAGCUCCUAGGGCUUGGCUGGGUGGGCACUUGAAGCAGGAACUUUUGCCUAUAAACUGGGUUUUGAAGGGUGAGUGGGAGAAUACCAGGGGUUCUGCAUGGAGGGGUGGUGUAGGGCCAGGGAAGUAGGUGUUCAUCACGUGGAACAACAUGCCUGAGGGACAGUGUGACCAUGUUACCAUGGUGAUCUUCUGGGACACUGCCUCUUUCCUUUCCACGCCACUGCAGGACUUGUCCUCCUUUUUUCCUCUCCUUCUUCCUUUAGAUCUUUUGACUUUGACUUUUUUUUUUUUUUUUUGUUUUUUCUCCGGUACCGGGAACCGAACUCACGACCUCGCGCUUGCCAGACAGGCGCUUUGCCGCUGAGCUAAAUCCCCAGCCCCUUGACUUUGACUUCUUUUAGGUAUUUAUGAUCCUAGUCAGUUGCUGCCAUCCAGGGCCCACCUACCGAAUAAACCUCUCUUUCUUUCUCAUCAUCACCUCGAACCCUGGUUUAUACUUCUCCAUGCCUCCUGGGUAGUUUCCUGCGGCCACAUCCCAAGGACACUUGACAUCCAUUAUCCUUCCCACCUUCUGGUUUAGCUCCCAGAGGUCCCACUUGCAAUUAUUAGCACCAACGUCUGCUGUGUCACCCAGCCAAGAACAAGAGCCCUGUUUGUCUCUCCCCUUCCUUUUCUCACUGUAUUUCCCAGCCCCAGGUCCUGCUGCCUUUGACCCAUAAGCAGUCUCCAGUUCGCUCCCCUCCUUUUUAUGACUGCACCCCCAACUUUUUCACCACAAUCUUCAUCAUCUGAAAUGACCACAGCAGCCCCAACUGUUUUUCCCUUCGCAAAUCCAGCACGCACCCAACUUCCAGUAUCACUUAUCUAAAAUGCAAAUUCAGGUCUACAAAUCUUUUGCCUAAAGUCUUUUGUGCUUCCUCACUAGCUAUUGCACCUUCACAAGAUCCAGGGCACCCUCAGGAAAUUGCUCCAUGGAUCUCAAUGUUCUUUUCUCCUAUUCUCAAAAUACACCUUAUACUGUGGGAAGGAAAUUCUUGUUCAGGAAGUCAUGCUGGGUUUAUUACAGGUCUCCUUGCUCAUGGGAGUUUGAUAUCUCCUACCCUCUCUGCCUCCAUGUCCACUUUUUUCAUGUUAUGUUUCUUCAUUAAGAUAUUGCAUCUUCAUAGCUGCUAGUUUACAUAUUUAAAAAUUAUUCAUUUGGAAAUAGAAAAUUUUACUUUGGAGUACUGGUUGGGAUGAUAUCAGUCAUCAUAGAUCACACAGAAGCACAUGCUUUGCUUUUCUCAGAACUGUGAAGCAAAGCCAAGUGCAGAAUAAUUUUCAUAACUGAGAAGAAGACAAGUUCAAAGCACUAAAUCAUAGAAAGAAAAAAUUUUUCCCCUGUAAAUCUUGCCACAUAAGAUUUAUAACAAGAGAGUUUAUGGUAAGCAUAAGUGGCCUCCAUAUUUACAUCUGCCAG
rnacentral:lncRNA from 1 species